rnacentral:rRNA from 1 species
GACGAACGCUGGCGGCGUGCUUAACACAUGCAAGUCGAACGGAAAGGCCCUGCUUUUGUGGGGUGCUCGAGUGGCGAACGGGUGAGUAACACGUGAGUAACCUGCCCUUGACUUUGGGAUAACUUCAGGAAACUGGGGCUAAUACCGGAUAGGAGCUCCUGCUGCAUGGUGGGGGUUGGAAAGUUUCGGCGGUUGGGGAUGGACUCGCGGCUUAUCAGCUUGUUGGUGGGGUAGUGGCUUACCAAGGCUUUGACGGGUAGCCGGCCUGAGAGGGUGACCGGCCACAUUGGGACUGAGAUACGGCCCAGACUCCUACGGGAGGCAGCAGUGGGGAAUAUUGCACAAUGGGCGGAAGCCUGAUGCAGCAACGCCGCGUGCGGGAUGACGGCCUUCGGGUUGUAAACCGCUUUCGCCUGCGACGAAGCGUGAGUGACGGUAAUGGGUAAAGAAGUACCGGCUAACUACGUG